UACGAAGGGGCUAGCGUUGCUCGGAAUCACUGGGCGUAAGGGUGCGUAGGCGGGUCUUUAAGUCAGGGUGAAAUCCUGGAGCUCAACUCCAGAACUGCCUUUGAUACUGAAGAUCUUGAGUUCGGGAGAGGUGAGGUGGAACUGCGAGUGUAGAGGUGAAAUUCGUAGAUAUUCGCAAGAACACCAGUGGCGAAGGCGGCC
rnacentral:rRNA from 1 species